rnacentral:rRNA from 1 species
UACGUAGGGGGCAAGCGUUGUCCGGAUUUAUUGGGCGUAAAGGGCGCGUAGGCGGCCAUUCAAGUGACGGGUGAAAGCCCUCGGCUUAACCGAGGAACUGCCUGUCAGACUGGAUGGCUUGAGACCGGGAGAGGUGAGUGGAAUUCCCAGUGUAGCGGUGAAAUGCGCAGAUAUCAGGAGGAACACCGAUGGCGAAGGCAGGUCUCUGGGCAUUAACUGACGCUGAGGAGCGAAAGCAUGGGGAGCGAACAGG